UGGCCUGGUGGCUCAGCUGGUUAGAGCGCCGCCCUGUCACGGCGGAGGUCGUGGGUUCGAACCCCAUCCGGGUCGU
rnacentral:tRNA from 4 species